rnacentral:rRNA from 1 species
GUCCACACCGUAACGUUGGGCGCUAGGUGUGGGAUCCAUUCCACGGGUUCCGUGCCGCAGCUAACGCAUUAAGCGCCCCGCCUGGGGAGUACGGCCGCAAGGCUAAAACUCAAAGGAAUUGACGGGGGCCCGCACAAGCGGCGGAGCAUGCGGAUUAAUUCGAUGCAACGCGAAGAACCUUACCUGGGUUUGACAUACGCCGGAAGCUCCCAGAGAUGGGGGUCUCUUGAUACUGGUGUACAGGUGGUGCAUGGCUGUCGU